rnacentral:misc_RNA from 1 species
ACCCUAAGGGAAUCAAGCCUUUCCAAACGUUUGGUGGGCUGGGGUAAGUUGAUCUUGUGUUUUAAUUAACUGAAAUUAUUGUAGUUUACUUGGUUUGAUUAUUCUUGAUGUACCCUGUGGUGUACCCAUUUAUUUUGAUUACUAGCGAUUUUCUUGAAAUUCAUCGUAUUUUCUUCUUCACUACGUUACCUUCAUACGACCAAUAUUGAUGGUCUACUGCUACUUCAAGCUACUUUCUUAGUCGCAGUUCUCGAUGAGCCAAGCCGCCGUA